AAACAAAAAAAGUUGCCAGGUGAAGUGAGGGAACUAGCUCAUAACAGGUGUGUGAGAGUGAGAGUCAUCAACAGGUGAGGUGGGCAAGACAGGUGUGUGCCAGGUGUGGUAAGACUACGUGAAAAGACUAAUUACGUGAACUUACUGACACAGGUGAGGUGAGGUAUGAAGGGUCGAGCCAGGUAAAGGGUUAAUUAGGCCAGGUAAGGGAAGGGGAGGGAGGGAGGAGACGAGGGGGGAGAAGGAGGAGGAGGAAGAAGAGGAGAAUGAGAGAAGGAAGGAUUGAAUGUGGAGGAAAGAGGACGAACAGGAAAAAGUGAGGAGAGGAAAUUUGUAAGAGGUAUUAGAGGAGAGAGACAGAGAUUUAUAUGAGGAGAGAAGGAGAAAGAGAGAAGAAGGAAUGGAGGGAGGAGGAACAAGAGGAAGAGAGAAAGAGAAAUAUGUGAGAGAUAUUACAAGAGAUGGAGAUAGAUAGAAGGAGAGAAAGAGGAAGGGAAGGAGGGAUUAAGAAAGGAAAAUGAGGGUGAGAGAGAAAUAUUUGAUCAAAGAAAGAGAGGGAGAGAGGAAGAGAAGGACAAACAAACAAACACACAAACAAACAGUGGGAGAUAAAGAGACACUACAGGAAGAAGGGAGAGAAAAAUAGAGACAAGAGGAGAAGGAAGGGAGAGAAAAAGAGAAAAUAAAAAUUGAUUGGAGAAAAGCAGAGAAACCUGGAGGGAGUGAAUGAAAGAGAUGGCAACAAACAGACAGGUAAGCUUAGAUUGGACAGGUAAAAUCAUAUAGACAGGUAUAUACAGGUGAGACAUACUAAAAGAGAAAGCAAUUUAUUAAAGGUAGGUUCAGGUAGCUUCAAACAGGACAGGUAGGAUGAGCAAUUAAGGAUGUCACAGGUAGGUUCAGGUAUAAGCAGGUAUAAAUCUAGAGACAGGUAGGACAGUAAUUAGGACUGAGACGGGUAGAAUCAGGUAGAAAUGGUGUAAUUUAUUAGACAGGUAGGGUAGGUCUAAUUGAGUUUUCUUCAGGUAGGAAAGGUUUAUUAAUGAGACAGGUAGAACAGUAAUCAAGGUAGGACAGGUAGGAUUAGACAGUAGUAUAAUUAGACACAGGUAGGACAGGUAAGGUCAGGUAGGAUAGCAAUUAGGACUCAGGUAGGAUCAAGACAGGGAAGGUCAGGUGUAAUUAAGGACAGGUAAGGUCAGGUAGGAUAGCAAUUAGGACUCAGGUAGGAUCAAGACAGGUAAGGUCAGGUGUAAUUAAGGACAGGUAAGGUCAGGUAGGAUAGCAAUUAGGACUCAGGUAGGAUCAGGACAGGUAAGGUCAGGUAGGAUAGCAAUUAGGACUCAGGUAGGAUCAGGACAGGUAAGGUCAGGUAGGAUAGCAAUUAGGACUCAGGUAGGAUCAGGACAGGUAAGGUCAGGUAGGAUAGCAAUUAGGACUCAGGUAAGGGUCAGGAGAGGUCAUAUAUUUCAAGACUUACACCUUUAAUUGCCGUGAUGAGCUAGUUAGUGGACUACGACAAACUACGUCAUUAUUUACUGGUGUGCCGUUUUCUUUCUUGCUAUCUCUAUUAUCAUUAUUUUUUAAGGGAAACUGCGCCAUCUUGGACUUAUUGGAAUUUGAACACAUUUAUUACGAAGAUGAUUAUAGUGAAAAAAAAACGAAAAUGAGCGUUGAUAAAGUGUGAUUUUUAAGGUAAUUUGAACCACUUAUUACGAAGAUGAUUAUAGUAAAAAAAAAAAAACGAAAAUGAGCGUUGAUUAAGUGUGAUUUUUAGGGUAUUUUGACCCACUUAUCACAAACUUUAUUAUCUUGAAAAUAAAACAAAACAAAAACAUUGACCAAGAGUGAUUUGGAAGAUUGAAGGAAAAAAAUACAGAAAAUAAAAAAAAUAAAAAAACAAGAACUGAUUUUUUUUAGGACUUUGAGCAAACAAGCACACAAACAAACACCACCAUCCAAGAUUUAACAGAAGCCCUUAAGUUAGAGUUUUAUUUAUUUCAUUUAUUUACCAUUUUUUAUUAUUAUUAGAAGGGGUGACUAUAAAGUUUUGGGGGUAAUUUUUUUUUCUCAUCUAUUUAUUUUGCUUUACUUUCUUACUCUAUUUUGUCUAUUUUUAUCUUCUCCUUUUUUUAUUCUCUCUUCUAUUUCUCUUCUACUCUAAGGCAGCCUCUUCGUAGCAGCAAAAAUACAUGUCUGAUACAAGUACUACAAAAAAAACAAGAACAAUACCAAAUGGACAAACUCUACGGUGUGUGUGUGUGUGUGUGUGUGUGUGUGUAUGUGUGUGUGUGCGUGUGUGUGUGUGUGUGCGUGUGGUUGGUUUCAUGUGCUGGGUUACACAUACACACUCUUUAAACACACACACACACACACACACACACACACACACACACACACACACACACACCAACGCAAUCCAUAACAAACAAACACAAACAAACAAACAAACAAACAAACAGACAGACAGUCAGUUGUAGUAUAAGUAGUAGUAGCAGUAGUAGUAGUAGUAGUAGUAGUAGUGAUGUAUGUUGUAGUAGCAGUAGUACUAGUAGUAGUAGUAGUAGUAAUAGUAGUAGUAGUAGUAGCACUAGUAAAAAAAAAUAGGAGAAAAACGAAGAGAAAAAUGAAGAUAAUUACAAAAUGAAGCAGUUACAGUAAUAGUAGCAAUAGUAACAGUAGUAAUAGUAGUAAUAGCAAUUGUAUUUAUUCUGAGAGAGUCUUCAAUAGUACUAAUUAUAACCACAUUAAUAAAAUCUACACGUGGAAACAUUAAUAUAAAAAAAAAAAACACAGGAGGAGGAGGAGAGGAAGAGGCGAAGAACAGGUAGAUUGACAGGUGACAGAACCCCCUCUUGAC